GACCCAAUGGCACAACGGUUGGUGUGCUUGCUUUACUUAGUACACGAGUUAUGAAUAAGCAAGAGGUCUCCCGUUCGAUUCGGGGUUGGGUCA